GUCGUCUAGACUUAUCCUAUUGGUCGUAGAAGCUAAUAAGGGUACGACUGUUCGUCGUUUAAAAAGUUACUUGAGAUGGGUUAAUUACGACGUGAGUCAGUAAUGAUUUUAUCAUCUAUGACGUUAAUAGUAAUAUGUAAUUAUAUGUGUACGAAAGGAUUAUAUAAUAUAGUUCAAUGGUGAAGAGCUUUUGAUUCUUAGCUAAAACUAUAAAGGAUAAAUAUUGAUAGCUUAUUAAAUAUUAAGCCUUACAUAUUCACUAUAUAAACAUUAAAGAUAAUAAUGUAAUAGUAAUAUAUCUAUGCUUUAUUCUUAUAUAAGAAUAUAGAGGAUAUAAUAAACUAAUAAAUAUAAUCAUUUAUAAUAACAAAUCAUGUCAAAUUAUUUAUAUAUAUUUAUACUAUAUAUUAUUUAUAUUUAAUUAUAUAUAUUAUACAUAUAUUUUUAUAUAAAAAUAUAAAAGUUAGUUAG
rnacentral:rRNA from 1 species